UACGUAGGAGGCGAGCGUUGUCCGGAAUGACUGGGCGUAAAGGGCGUGUAGGCGGCUAUUUAAGUCUGGAGUGAAAGUCCUGCUUUCAAGGUGGGAAUUGCUUUGGAGACUGGAUGGCUUGAGUGCGGAAGAGGUAAGUGGAAUUCCCAGUGUAGCGGUGAAAUGCGUAGAGAUUGGGAGGAACACCAGUGGCGAAGGCGACUUACUGGGCCGUAACUGACGCUGAGGCGCGAAAGCAUGGGGAGCGAACAGGAUUAGAUACCCGCGUAGU
rnacentral:rRNA from 1 species